GAGGGUAUACCUAGUGGUAGAGUAUGUGUUUAGCAUGUACGAAGUCCUGGGUUCAAUCCCCAGUAAUUUCA
rnacentral:tRNA from 1 species